rnacentral:misc_RNA from 1 species
GAAUCAUAGUAUUUGUGUGCUUUGGCAAGGAAAGAUACCCAACAAGAUUAAGAACAAAGUUCCCACUUCAUUAUGCAAAGCAGACAAUCAACCUAAACAUGCAGAAUCAUGUGCAAUGAAAUUUUGACUAAGCAAAUUGAGGAUAUAUAUAGGAAUAAUCUUAGUGCCCUUUUGCUUCCCCAAAACCACUUCUUGCUAUGACUUUG